UACGUAGGGUCCGAGCGUUGUCCGGAAUUAUUGGGCGUAAAGCGCGCGCAGGCGGUCCUUAAGUCUGAUGUGAAAGCCCACGGCUCAACCGUGGAAGGUCAUUGGAAACUGGGGAACUUGAGUGCAGAAGAGGAGAGUGGAAUUCCAUGUGUAGCGGUGAAAUGCGUAGAUAUAUGGAGGAACACCAGUGGCGAAGGCGACUCUCUGGUCUGUAACUGACGCUGAGGCUCGAAAGCGUGGGGAGCAAACAGGAUUAGAUA
rnacentral:rRNA from 1 species